CUUGAGGGUAUAAAAGGAUUAACGUUAAAAAGUGGAGAAUUACUGCCAAAAGUUAUGGGGUGCUAUAAUACUUUCUCUUUCCAUCACAGAAGAGGGGAAGAGGGUAAGUAAAAGAAGCUUCUAGUGACCUGCUAAGGGAGUUUGAUCUUGACCACCUGGUAUAUGUAGUGUCCAAGACUAAUGUCAGACCAUGCCUGACAUUAGUGAGAAGCUGAAACCUAUAGCCACGGAGCAGAAAACUUCACUAGGAACAAAGUACCCUUCUUUGUGAGACAAGGGCAGGUGACUGUUUUCUGUGUGAGAUUUGGGUCACAUGGAGAAAAAAACCUACCUGGAGCAAUCUUAAAGAGGACUGAUGGGAAGAUUGUCUGCGACACACUGCUGGAUAUCCCAGAGGCUGAGGCUCAAUUCAUGAGAAUUACAAAUAGAGAGCUCCAGUGGGAGUACUUAUAUGGAAGCUACAAUCAUAGCACCUGAAAUAAAGGUAAUCACCCUUGGAGCCCUGCCAUAGACAAAAGGAAUUCAAAAAAAAGCUCUGCUGGGCAGUUCUUUUUGGGGUUUCUCAUCUGGCUGCAGUUAGAUGUUUCGUGGGACUGCAAUAAUCUGAAGCCUCAAUUGGGCUGGAUGUCAAACGUGCCUUCCUCUCGUGC
rnacentral:lncRNA from 1 species